rnacentral:rRNA from 1 species
UAAAUUUAGAGUUUGAUCCUGGCUCAGGACGAACGCUGGCGGCGUGCUUAACACAUGCAAGUCGAGCGAUGAAGCUUCCUUCGGGAAGUGGAUUAGCGGCGGACGGGUGAGUAACACGUGGGUAACCUACCUCAAAGUGGGGGAUAGCCUUCCGAAAGGAAGAUUAAUACCGCAUAAUAUGAGAGAAUCGCAUGAUUUUUUUAUCAAAGAUUUAU